rnacentral:rRNA from 1 species
GACGAACGCUGGCGGCGUGCUUAACACAUGCAAGUCGAACGGAAAGGCCCUGCUUGCAGGGUCCUCGAGUGGCGAACGGGUGAGUAACACGUGGGUGAUCUGCCCUGCACUUCGGGAUAAGCCUGGUAAACUGGGUCUAAUACCGGAUAGGAGCCAUUUUUAGUGUGAUGGUUGGAAAGUUUUUUCGGUGUAGGAUGAGCUCGCGGCCUAUCAGCUUGUUGGUGGGGUAAUGUCCUACCAAGGCGGCGACGGGUAGCCGGCCUGAGUGGGUGGACGGCCACAUUGGGACUGAGAUACGGCACAGACACCUACGGGAGGGAGAUGGGGGGAAGAUUGCACAAUGGGCGCAAGCCUGAUGCAGCGACGCCGCGUGGGGGAUGACGGCCUUAGGGUUGUAAACUCCUUUCGCUAGGGACGAAGCUUGUUGUGACGGUACCUAGAUAAGAAGCACCGGCUAACUACGUG